rnacentral:rRNA from 1 species
UUCCAGGUAAAUCCGGUUCACUUUAACACUGAGGCGUGACGACGAGGCACUACGGUGCUGAAGCAACAAAUGCCCUGCUUCCAGGAAAAGCCUCUAAGCAUCAGGUAACAUCAAAUCGUACCCCAAACCGACACAGGUGGUCAGGUAGAGAAUACCAAGGCGCUUGAGAGAACUCGGGUGAAGGAACUAGGCAAAAUGGUGCCGUAACUUCGGGAGAAGGCACGCUGACACGUAGGUGAAGUGAUUUACUCAUGGAGCUGAAGUCAGUCGAAGAUACCAGCUGGCUGCAACUGUUUAUUAAAAACACAGCACUGUGCAAACACGAAAGUGGACGUAUACGGUGUGACGCCUGCCCGGUGCCGGAAGGUUAAUUGAUGGGGUCAGCGCAAGCGAAGCUCCUGAUCGAAGCCCCGGUAAACGGCGGCCGUAACUAUAACGGUCCUAAGGUAGCGAAAUUCCUUGUCGGGUAAGUUCCGACCUGCACGAAUGGCGUAAUGAUGGCCAGGCUGUCUCCACCCGAGACUCAGUGAAAUUGAACUCGCUGUGAAGAUGCAGUGUACCCGCGGCAAGACGGAAAGACCCCGUGAACCUUUACUAUAGCUUGACACUGAACAUUGAGCCUUGAUGUGUAGGAUAGGUGGGAGGCUUUGAAGUGUGGACGCCAGUCUGCAUGGAGCCGACCUUGAAAUACCACCCUUUAAUGUUUGAUGUUCUAACGUGGACCCGUAAUCCGGGUUGCGGACAGUGUCUGGUGGGUAGUUUGACUGGGGCGGUCUCCUCCUAAAGAGUAACGGAGGAGCACGAAGGUUGGCUAAUCCUGGUCGGACAUCAGGAGGUUAGUGCAAUGGCAUAAGCCAGCUUGACUGCGAGCGUGACGGCGCGAGCAGGUGCGAAAGCAGGUCAUAGUGAUCCGGUGGUUCUGAAUGGAAGGGCCAUCGCUCAACGGAUAAAAGGUACUCCGGGGAUAACAGGCUGAUACCGCCCAAGAGUUCAUAUCGACGGCGGUGUUUGGCACCUCGAUGUCGGCUCAUCACAUCCUGGGGCUGAAGUAGGUCCCAAGGGUAUGGCUGUUCGCCAUUUAAAGUGGUACGCGAGCUGGGUUUAGAACGUCGUGAGACAGUUCGGUCCCUAUCUGCCGUGGGCGCUGGAGAACUGAGGGGGGCUGCUCCUAGUACGAGAGGACCGGAGUGGACGCAUCACUGGUGUUCGGGUUGUCAUGCCAAUGGCACUGCCCGGUAGCUAAAUGCGGAAGAGAUAAGUGCUGAAAGCAUCUAAGCACGAAACUUGCCCCGAGAUGAGUUCUCCCUGAGACUUAGAGUCUCCUGAAGGAACGUUGAAGACGACGACG